rnacentral:rRNA from 1 species
GACUAUAAGUCUCCUGAAGGAACGUUAAAGACGAUGACGUUGAUAGGCCGGGUGUGUAAGCGCAGCGAUGCGUUGAGCUAACCGGUACUAAUGAACCGUGCGGCUUAACCUUACAACGCCGAAG